rnacentral:rRNA from 1 species
CAGCAGCCGCGGGAAUACGUAGGUGGCAAGCGUUGUCCGGAAUUAUUGGGCGUAAAGGGCUCGCAGGCGGUUUCUUAAGUCUGAUGUGAAAGCCCCCGGCUCAACCGGGGAGGGUCACUGGAAACUGGGAAACUUGAGUGCAGAAGAGGAGAGUGGAAUUCCACGUGUAGCGGUGAAAUGCGUAGAGAUGUGGAGGAACACCAGUGGCGAAGGCGACUCUCUGGUCUGUAACUGACGCUGAGGAGCGAAAGCGUGGGAAGCGAACAGGAUUAGAUACCCCGGUAGUCCCUGUCUCUUAUAC